rnacentral:rRNA from 1 species
CGAGGUUGCUUCGGUAACUGAGCUAGCAGCGGACGGGUGAGUAAUGCUUAGGAAUCUGCCUAUUAGUGGGGGACAACAUUCCGAAAGGAAUGCUAAUACCGCAUACGCCCUACGGGGGAAAGCAGGGGAUCUUCGGACCUUGCGCUAAUAGAUGAGCCUAAGUCAGAUUAGCUAGUUGGUGGGGUAAAGGCCUACCAAGGCGACGAUCUGUAGCGGGUCUGAGAGGAUGAUCCGCCACACUGGGACUGAGACACGGCCCAGACUCCUACGGGAGGCAGCAGUGGGGAAUAUUGGACAAUGGGCGCAAGCCUGAUCCAGCCAUGCCGCGUGUGUGAAGAAGGCCUUUUGGUUGUAAAGCACUUUAAGCGAGGAGGAGGCUACUUGGAUUAAUACUCUAGGAUAGUGGACGUUACUCGCAGAAUAAGCACCGGCUAACUCUGUGCCAGCAGCCGCGGUAAUACAGAGGGUGCGAGCGUUAAUCGGAUUUACUGGGCGUAAAGCGUGCGUAGGCGGCUUCUUAAGUCGGAUGUGAAAUCCCUGAGCUUAACUUAGGAAUUGCAUUCGAUACUGGGAAGCUAGAGUAUGGGAGAGGAUGGUAGAAUUCCAGGUGUAGCGGUGAAAUGCGUAGAGAUCUGGGGGAAUACCGAUGGCGAAGGCAGCCAUCUGGCCUAAUACUG